rnacentral:misc_RNA from 1 species
AAGAGGUAAAUUUUUUGCUGAUCCCUACAGAAAAGAUUAAAAAGUAUGAAUUAGGAGUCUACUCUUCAUUCUAAUAGAAUGUACCAUGGCAUUGAACUCUUUUUCUGUAGCUGAUAUGUUAUUUUGAAGCAGACUAUGAGUGGCACAAUCUGCAGAGAUGAAUAAAAAUGCAAUCCAAAGUAGAAAGAGUGAAAGAAAUAGGAUAUACAUGCAAUGAAACCACUUGACUGA